rfam:Candidatus Kaiserbacteria bacterium RIFCSPHIGHO2_01_FTLL_54_36b rifcsphigho2_01_scaffold_44735, whole genome shotgun sequence.
GGAGUUCUGAGUAAGGGCGUGUGGUGGAUGCCUUGACUGAAGAAGGCGACGAAGGACGCGGCUUAGCUGCGAUAAGCUCCGGUAAGAUGCCAAGCAAUCGUUAUACCCGGAGAUUUCCGAAUGGGGCAAC